GCCGAAGUGGCGGAACUGGUAGACGCGCACGACUCAAAAUCGUGUACCGCAAGGUGUGAGGGUUCGAGUCCCUCCUUCGGCACCA
rnacentral:tRNA from 3 species